AUGAAAGAAAAUUCAAAAGAAAAAAUAAAAAACGCUGAAACGAUGUCGUAUCGUGGUUGGUGUAGGUUUUUAAACGUAAGUUUUUCUAUCUUCUUCACCGCAGCUUCAAACGAAACUCAAACCUUCAGCCACCGUGUCGGCGGUGCCCACGGUGACCUGGUUGUUUGGAUUUUGUUCAUGAUUAGUGAGCUGUUUGGUCAUGCUUGGAUUUAUUUCGUGGCCUGGUCUAGCAUAUCUUUGUGUUAA